rnacentral:rRNA from 1 species
GACGAACGCUGGCGGCGUGCUUAACACAUGCAAGUCGAACGGAAAGGCCCUGCUUUUGUUGGGGGCUCGAGUGGCGAACGGGUGAGUAACACGUGAGUAACCUGCCCUUGACUUUGGGAUAACUUCAGGAAACUGGGGCUAAUACCGGAUAGGAGCUCCUGCUGCAUGGUGGGGGUUGGAAAGUUUCGGCGGUUGGGGAUGGACUCGCGGCUUAUCAGCUUGUUGGUGGGGUAGUGGCUUACCAAGGCUUUGACGGGUAGCCGGCCUGAGAGGGUGACCGGCCACAUUGGGACUGAGAUACGGCCCAGAGUCCUACGGGAGGCAGCAGUGGGGAAUAUUGCACAAUGGGCGGAAGCCUGAUGCAGCAACGCCGCGUGCGGGAUGACGGCCUUCGGGUUGUAAACCGCUUUCGCCUGUGACGAAGCGUGAGUGACGGUAAUGGGUAAAGAAGCACCGGCUAACUACGUG